GGAAGCCACAAGAACGAGCCUCCUGCUUUAUAGACAAGAACAUGAUCAAGGCUGAUGCUCUGCUGUGUGAAGUUGUGCAUUCCCAGCAAAAAAAUGGGGAAAUGUGUGUAAGAGCAAUGGAGCUGACUGGCAGUGCCAGUCUAGCUAGUCCAGCCUUCCUAAGGCUGACGUAGCCAAUGUGGUGCUGCCCAGAUGAACCACAGCUCCCACCACCAUCAUCCCUGACCAUUAGUCAUGCUGGCUAAGGCUGAUGGAGUCCAACCACAACCACAUUGGCUGCCUCUGAUUCAAAUCCCUCCUUUCAGACAUUCCUUGUGGAAUGAGCAGGGCAACAGCCCUGCUUGUCUGGCAUGCCUAGGAGCACCUUAGCCAAUGCCUGGCACACUUCAUGAUCCUGUGCAGAGGGAAAGAGGCAGCCACAUCCCCCUUUCAGGCUCUUCUAGUCAUCAAGGUACCUUGGACUCUACGCAGGCCUACUUUCAUUUCCCUAGGUGGCAUAGAAGCAGCUUAACCAUUUCAAUAUUCCUGCAGAGUGAGUGAGUCAUCAGCCUCAAGGCUCUUUACAUAGUGCAUCCUGCCUGAAGGAACAAGGAUGCGAAGAGUCCUUGAGAAAGGGUGGGGGUGGAAGACCCAUAGAGCUGCCAUUAUGGAAGCAAAAUCACCUGUUGCAAGCAGGGAAGUGGGCAGGCAGUAAGGGACCUGGGAGUGGGGGCAGUGGGUUAGGAUUAGAGUUUGUGGGCAUUCAAUGAAGCUGAAUGUUGAAAGAUUCAGGACAGAUAGAAGAAGAAAGGACUUCUUCAUAUAGUUAAACUUGCUCCCACAGGAGGCAAUGACAGCCACCAAAAGGAUGUUUUGGGGGCUAUCAAUGGCUAUUAGCCACAAUGGCUUUGCUCUGCCACAGUUUGAGGGAGCAGUGUUUCUGAAUACCAGUUGCUGGAAGCCACAGGAGGGGAAAGGGCUCUUGUGCUUGAAUCCUGCUUGUGGGUUUCCCACAGGUAUCUGAAUGGCCACUGUGAGAACCAUAGCAGCCAACUACUAGGGUCCAAGGUGCCCAUAACAUAUUUGACUGGCUUCCCCCCACCAAAGGUUUAUGGGCAUUGCCAUUCAAGUGAUGUGUGUGUGUGUGCACCACAUCAUGUGAUCAAUUACCUCCCCCCACCCCAAUUUUAUUCAAGUUGGCACCCCUGGUAAGAACAGGAUGUUGGGGUAGAUGGGCUUUCCUUACGUUCUUAUAUGCUCUUGUGCUUGGGUCCCGUUUGUGAGUUUCCCAGAAGAGGCAUCUGGUUCGCCACUAUGAGAACAGGAUCCUGGAUUAGAUGAGCCCCAUUUGGCCCAAUCCAGCAAACUCUUCUCACGUUCUUAUGAGUGGAAGAGGAAACAGAGCAAUUAAUUAAAGCAAGUCACUUGGAACUGCAGGACAGAACUACUCUUGCUGCUGAAGAGACAAGGCUGUGCGUGGAUUCUGGCAACCACUUUUAGUCAGCUAGCCAGGAAUAUGCAGAAUUUUGCCCCGGCUGCAGAGUGAGACUUGGGUUCCUGGCGCCUUUGGUAAGCAAUGCUUUCAGGAGAAGGCAGGGGCAGCACUUUGGGAGGAGGCAAACUAUCCUGGGCCCAGGACAAAAUCUUCAGCUCUCUCUUCUGCUGUUCUAUUCUCCCCCCCUUGAACACCUCCCAUGGCGUCCCAUUUGUUCUCUGCCAGUGGUAUUAAUCCACCCACAGCCCACAGCUGGACUUAAUGGGGGAAAGUUACCUAAUUAGUCAAAUUACAUUUUCUUGAAGUCUCUGUGAUGGACUCCAAGUCAGACUGGGCCUAUUUAUAACUCUCCACCUCAUGAAGUGCAAUAUGCUGUUUGCACGAUAAGGAAAACAAGCCACCACAUCCGCCUCCCUCCUGCCACUAAUUAAGGAGAUUCCCUCUGUGGCGCUAAUUCCAGAUGCCAGAAUCAGCCACUGAACCUGGCAGGCUGUCAUCAGAAUGAAGGGGGCCUCACAGCAAGGGAGCAGGGAGAUGGGGUAAAUGGGAGGGGGGGGUCUAUCAUCAUAAACAGCCAGAAACUCCACAAUGCAGGGCUCUGUGCUGGAGACACCCACUCACCAUCCUUCUGGGUCCUCUUGCACUUGCCCUCUGCACUGGCUCCACAUCUAACAUGCCUGUUGAUCUAUUGUCUCAUAGGGCUCUGCCUCCCUGUACACACCCAGAGUUCUUAGCACCCCCAGGCCCUUUGCUGCCUUCCUCUUCACUGAGAUCAUAGAGUCAUAGAUUUGUAGGGCUGGAAGAGGUCCCAAGGGCCAGUCCAACCCCUGCAAUGCAGCUAUGGAAUCCCUGAUAGAUGGCAAUCUAACCACUCUUUAAAAACCUCCAAUGAAGGAGAGAGUCCACCACCUUCCCAUAUAGUCCAUGCCACUGUCAAACAGGUCAUCAGAACGUUCUUCCUAAUGUUGAGUCAGAAUCUCCUUCCUUGUCAUUUUAAUCCAUCCACUCCAGCCAGCAUGUCCAAUGGCCAAGAUUGAUGGCUCAAUCUGGAUUAAAGGGGUGGGGGGAGGGGGCAGAAUUUGAGAAGGCAUUUUGAGGCCUGUCUGAGACCCUGCUGCAAGUCAGAGGAGACGUCACCAGGCUCUAUGGGCAAAGAGUGUGGCUCUCGUCUCAGGCAGCUACCUGUGUCCCUCCCCUCAUCCUGCACAUCCAGGCCAUGGAGAGUGUUUCCCCCAGAGCCUUCGUCCUGCUGUUUGCAAGGCCCAUUUUUCACCUGUCACUUUCUCCUUGACCUCUGCAAAGAAUUAUGAGGUGUAAACAAAAUUCAAAUCAGGCAAGGGCUGGAUGGCCCCUCUCCCAAG
rnacentral:lncRNA from 1 species